AAACCAGCACCUCAAGUGGUCAGGAGGAUUAUUGGGCCUAAAGCAUCCGUAGCCUGUUCUAUAAGUUUCCGGUUAACUCCACUAGCUCAACUAGUGGGCUGCCGAAAAUACUGUAGAACUAGGGAGUGGGAGAGGUAGACGGUAUUCGGUAGGAAGGGGUAAAAUCCUUUGAUCUAUUGAGGACCACCUGUGGCGAAGGCGGUCUACCAGAACACGUUCGACGGUGAGGGAUGAAAGCUGGGGGAGCAAACCGGAUUAGAAACCCCGGUAGUCC
rnacentral:rRNA from 1 species